rnacentral:miRNA from 1 species
UGUCAGUUUGUCAAAUACCCUA